GACGAACGCUGGCGGCGUGCUUAACACAUGCAAGUCGAACGGAAAGGCCCUGCUUUUGUGGGGUGCUCGAGUGGCGAACGGGUGAGUAACACGUGGGUAACCUGCCCUUGACUUUGGGAUAACUUCAGGAAACUGGGGCUAAUACCGGAUAGGAGCUCCUGCUGCAUGAUGGGGGUUGGAAAGUUUCGGCGGUUGGGGAUGGACUCGCGGCUUAUCAGCUUGUUGGUGGGGUAGUGGCUUACCAAGGCUUUGACGGGUAGCCGGCCUGAGAGGGUGACCGGCCACAUUGGGACUGAGAUACGGCCCAGACUCCUACGGGAGGCAGCAGUGGGGAAUAUUGCACAAUGGGCGGAAGCCUGAUGCAGCAACGCCGCGUGCGGGAUGACGGCCUUCGGGUUGUAAACCGCUUUCGCCUGUGACGAAGCGUGAGUGACGGUAAUGGGUAAAGAAGCACCGGCUAACUACGUG
rnacentral:rRNA from 1 species